AUGGCCAUCACUGACCGAUGUGUGAACCUCAGUUGGGAGGUGAUCAUUAUCUAUGGUCCGGCUGAUCACGAGCGGUCGACGGAUUUCUUGGUCGAACUAAAGGCUAAGGUGGAGCGGUGCACGACUCCGGUUGUCGUGGCUGGUGACUUCAACCUUAUUAGGCAGGAUGCUGACAAGAGCUCCCCCAAUGUUAACCGGUUGCGCAUGCGCAUGUUCAACAACUCCAUUGCGGACCUGUCUCUAUGGGAAAUAGCUUGUGUGGGGGCUAGGUUCACUUGGACUAAUAAUCAAGUGGACCCUAUCCAGGGCGUACUAGAUAGGGUCCUGGUGUCCGUACAAUGGGAGAUCAUGUUCCCAUUGUGCUCACUUAGAGCGGUCACCGGGAUUGGUUCCGACCACGUCCCCUUUCUAUUCGCGUCGGGGGAUGGGUCGCCAUCGAGGUCCAGGCGUUUUCACUUCGAAUCAUGUCGUGGUGAGCUCACGGCAGAUGCCAUGGGAUGGCUAAAGAGGGGAACAAGCAAGAGGGCACCGGUGGGCUCCAGAGGCGUGGUUGGUAUGAGCGAGCGCGAGACGCAAGACGUACCCAGGUUCGGGGCUCUCGGGGGAGAUGACACCCCUAGUCCUGCCGAGUGUGGUUUAUAUGUGGAUGAUACAAGCUUGCUCCUUGAGCUAUUGUGGGGAGGAAGGAAGAUAGGCCAAUGCAUGGGCUGCCCCUUCUUCGUGUGUGUGGAUGUAUGUGUGCGUGGUUAA
rnacentral:rRNA from 1 species